rnacentral:rRNA from 1 species
GAUGAACGCUGGCGGCGUGCCUAAUACAUGCAAGUCGAGCGAACAGGCGCGACGCUUGCUUCUCGGAUGUUAGCGGAGGACGUGAGAAUAACACGUGGAUAACCCACCUAUAAGACUGGGAACACUUCGGGAAACCGGAGCUAAUACCGGAUAAUCUUUUGAUGCGCAUGGUUCAAUAGUGAGAGACGGUCUUGCGGUCACGUCUAGAUGCAUCCGCGCUGCAUUAGCUAGUUGGUAAGGUAACAGCUUACCAAGGCUACUAUGCAUAAACGACCGGCGAGGGUGAUCGGCGACACUGGAGCUGAGACACCGUCCAGACUACUACGGGAGGCAGCAGUAGGGAAUCGUCCGCAGUGGGCGGAAGCCUGACGGAGUAAGGCGGCGCGAGAGAUGGAGGCGUCCGGAGCGUAAUACUCUGUUAUGAGUUAAGAACAUAUUUGUAAGUUACUGUGCAGUGCGUGACGGUACCGAAUCAGAAAGCCACGGCUAACUACGUG